GUGGUCCUAUCAUGGCUCAUUAUAGCCUCAAACUCCCAGGCUCAAGCAAUCCUACCAUGUCAGCCUUCCCAGUAGCUGGAACUACAGGAAGUGCGCUCACAAUGACUCAAGCUGCCACAUACUGUUGAUUGUGAAAUGCCAGUUGAAGCAUAUGUCCUGCAAGCUUAGGGGUGCUACAAGUUGACCACUGCAGCAGUAAAGAUGACUCUGAAGAAUGGCGUGGGAUGGUUCCUUUCAAAUGCACUUGAGCAGCGGUCUCCAACCACAGGGCCACAGAGCUGGAGCUGGAUCUACCAUGAAAGACUUGUGAAUCCAGGAAGAGAGACUGACUGGGCAACAUGUUAUUCAGGAGGUGACCUCACAGUGACUCAAGCUACCACUUACUGUUGUUUGUGACGAAAUGCCAGCUGAGGCACAUGCCUUGGGAGCUAAGUGGUUGCUGCCCUGGACCACUGUGAAGACUGGUGUGGGAAGGGUCGCUUUGGAUGCACUUGAGCAGGGGUCCCCAACCCCUGAGCCAUGGAGCCGCAAGGAGCCACACAGCAGGAGGUGGGACCAUCCAGUUGCAGGAAAACAAGCUUAACACGCCCACUGAUUCUACAUUAUGCUCCUACCUCCCGGCAGCCUCUCCAGGCCCAGAACUUUCUCCAGUCAGCCUCUACAGACCAAGCUCAUGACUCUCAAUGGCCUAUUUAGGCCCAUACCCUACGUCACGGCAGCCUCCGCAGAUGAGGCUACUGCCUCACAACAGCCUCCACAGGCACAGCUCCAUCGUUACAAUGGCCUCUUUAGACCCAGCUCCUGCCUCCCAGCCUUCUCUCCAGGCCCUGAACAUUCUCAGGUCUCCCUCUGUUGUCCAAGGCUGGAGUGUAGUAGUGCUAUCGCAGCUGACUGCAGCCUCAACCUUCCAGGCUGAAACGAUCCUCCCACCUCAACCUCCCACGUGGCUGAGACUACAGGUGCUUGCCACUAUGCCCAACUAACAUUUGGAAUUUUCGUAUACGUGGAUUCCAGAGGGGUGACAGCAAAACGUGGGACCAUCCAGUUGCAGGAAAACAAGCUUAACACGCCCACUGAUUCUACAUUAUGCUCCUACCUCCCGGCAGCCUCUCCAGGCCCAGAACUUUCUCCAGUCAGCCUCUACAGACCAAGCUCAUGACUCUCAAUGGCCUAUUUAGGCCCAUACCCUACGUCACGGCAGCCUCCGCAGAUGAGGCUACUGCCUCACAACAGCCUCCACAGGCACAGCUCCAUCGUUACAAUGGCCUCUUUAGACCCAGCUCCUGCCUCCCAGCCUUCUCUCCAGGCUCUGAACUUUCUCAGGUCUCCCUCUGUUGUCCAAGGCUGGAGUGUAGUAGUGCUAUCGCAGCUGACUGCAGCCUCAACCUUCCAGGCUGAAGUGAUCCUCCCACCUCAGCCUCCCACGUGGCUGAGACUACAGGUGCUUGCCACUAUGCCCAACUAACAUUUGGAAUUUUCGUAUACGUGGAUUCUAGAGGGGUGACAGCGAAACGUGACCUCACAGUGACUCAAGCUACCACUUACUGUUGAUUGUGACGAAAUGCCAGCUGAGGCACAUGCCUUGGGAGCUAAGUGGUUGCUGCCCUUGACCACUGUGAAGACUGGUGUGGGAAGGGUCGCUUUGGAUGCACUUGAGCAGGGGUCCCCAACCCCUGAGCCAUGGAGCCGCAAGGAGCCACACAGCAGGAGCUCCUACCUCCCGGCAGCCUCUCCAGGCCCAGAACUUUCUCCAGUCAGCCUCUACAGACCAAGCUCAUGACUCACAAUGGCCUAUUUAGGCCCAUACCCUACGUCACGGCAGCCUCCGCAGAUGAGGCUACUGCCUCACAACAGCCUCCACAGGCACAGCUCCAUCGUUACAAUGGCCUCUUUAGACCCAGCUCCUGCCUCCCAGCCUUCUCUCCAGGCCCUGAACUUUCUCAAGUCGACCUCACCAGGCCCAGCUCAUGCAUCUUGGUGGCCCCUCCAGGCCCAGCCUCUGCCUCCUGUCAGCCUCUACAGUCCCAACGUCUGCCUCACAGCAGAUUCUUCACGCCCAGCAUCUACCUCACUGUGGACCCCCCAAGCCAAGCUCCCAACCUUUCAGCAGCUUCUACACACCCAGCUCCUGCCACCCAGUGGCCUCUUUAGGCCAAGCUCAUGCUUCACAAGGGCCUUUCCAGGCCCAACUUUUGUCUCAUGGCAACCUUCCCUGGCCAGAUUCCUGCCUGUCUCCCAGCAGCCUAGACAGGCCCAGGUCUUGCCUCACACUGGCCUCUCUACAUCCAGCUUAUGCCUCACGGUGGCCUCUCCACGCCCAACUCCUGUCCCAGGACGUCAUCUCCGGGCCCAAAACUUACUCAAGUCAGACUCUCUAGUCCCAACUGCUGCCUCCUGGUGGCCUAUGAAGGCCCAAAAUCUCCUCAAGUUGACCUGUCCAGGCCCAGCUCCUGCCUCCUGUCAGCGUCUACAGGCCCAACCUCUGCCUCAUGGGGGCUUCUCCAGGCCCACCUCUUCCUCUUGGCUGGGUCUACAGGCACAACUGCUGCCUCACAACAGCCUUUUUUGGCCCAGUUCCUGUCCAGCUCAUGGCGGCCAAUGUAGGCCCAAAACUUCCUCAAGUCAAACUCUCCAGGCCCACCUUCUGCUUCCCGGUGGCAUCAACAGGCCCAGCUUUGACUUGAGAACAGCCUCUGCAGGCCCUGCUCUUGCCUCCCAGGGGCUUUUUCCAGGCCCAGCUCUUGCCUCAUGGCAGCUGCCCCAGGCCAAAUUUCUGCCUGCCUGCCAGCAGCCUCAACAGGCACAGCUCCUCCCUCACAGUGGCCCAUUUAGGCCCAACUCAUGACUGUGAGGCCAUUUCCAGGCCUAGUGCCUGCCUCGUGGCUGACUCUUGAAGCCCAAAA